rnacentral:misc_RNA from 1 species
CCAAACCCAACUGCUUUUAUAUACUUCCUCUUCUCUCUCUUUCUCUGCGCCUUUCCCUCUCACACACACUGUACUUUCUUCUCCUGCGGUCUUCUGUCAUCUGCGUUCCUAUGGCCUCCUCCUCUGCUGUCAAUCUCUCCAAACCCUCUCUCUCCUUAAAUUCCAAAUCUCAAAUUCCCCAGAAAGCUCCUCUCUCCUUCCUUCCCAAAACCCUCAAUAAACCCUCUCUUUUCCCUCCUACACCCUCUUCCGUCUCUCACACCUACAAAACCCUCCUCGCUUUCACUUCCGACAACCCCAUCUCUCAUGUUAUCUCGGCAAAUGAAAACAACCCAGAUGGUUCUUCUUUCGGUUUCCAUUUUGAUGAUGACGAUAAACCCCGUGAAGAGUGUGGUGUUGUGGGUAU